rnacentral:rRNA from 1 species
UACAGAGGUCUCAAGCGUUGUCCGGAUUUAUUGGGCGUAAAGAGCGUGUAGGCGGCCUGGUAGGUCAGCUGUGAAAACUCGAGGCUCAACCUCGAGACGCCGGUUGAAACCAUCAGGCUAGAGUCCGGAAGAGGAGGGUGGAAUUCCCGGUGUAGCGGUGAAAUGCGCAGAUAUCGGGAAGAACACCCGUGGCUAAGGCGGCUCUCUAGUACGGUACUGACGCUGAGACGCGAAAGCGUGGGGAGCGAACAGG